UACGGGGGGAGCAAGCGUUGUUCGGAUUUACUGGGCGUAAAGGGCGCGUAGGCGGCGUGACAAGUCACUUGUGAAAUCUCCGGGCUUAACUCGGAACGGUCAAGUGAUACUGUCGUGCUAGAGUACAGAAGGGGCAACUGGAAUUCUCGGUGUAGAGGUGAAAUUCGUAGAUAUUCGCAAGAACACCAGUGGCGAAGGCGGCUCACUGGCCCGAUACUGACGCUGAGGCACGAAAGCGUGGGGAGCAAACAGG
rnacentral:rRNA from 1 species